rnacentral:rRNA from 1 species
CACCUUUUGACAUGCCCGGACCGCCCCAGAGAUGGGGUUUUCCCUUCGGGGACUGGGACACAGGUGCUGCAUGGCUGUCGUCAGCUCGUGUCGUGAGAUGUUGGGUUAAGUCCCGCAACGAGCGCAACCCUCGCUGUUAGUUGCCAUCAGGUUUGGCUGGGCACUCUAACAGUACUGCCGAAGUUAAUUCGGAGGAAGGUGGGGAUGACGUCAAGUCCUCAUGGCCCUUACAAGGUGGGCUACACACGAGCUACAAUGGCGACUACAGAGGGCUGCAAACCCGCGAGGGGGAGCCAAUCCCUGAAAGUCGUCUCAGUUCGGAUUGCACUCUGCAACUCGAGUGCAUGAAGUUGGAAUCGCUAGUAAUCGCGGAUCAGCAUGCCGCGGUGAAUACGUUCCC